rnacentral:rRNA from 1 species
UUGAUCCUGGCUCAGAAUCAACGCUGGCGGCGCGCUUAACACAUGCAAGUCGAACGGGAAAGUGGAGCAAUCCAUGAGUACAGUGGCGUACGGGUGAGUUACACGUGGGUAAUCUACCUCUUAGUGGGGAAUAACCCUGGGAAACCGGGUCUAAUACCGCAUAAGCCUGAGAAGGGAAAGCAGCAAUGCGCUGAGAGAGUAGCCCGCGGCCGAUUAGCUAGUUGGUAGGGUAAAGGCCUACCAAGGCAGUGAUCGGUAGCCGGCCUGAGAGGGCACACGGCCACACUGGCACUGAAACAUGGGCCAGACUCCUACGGGAGGCAGCAGUGGGGAAUCUUGCACAAUGGGGUCAACCCUGAUGCAGCGACGCCGCGUGAGCGAUGAAGCCCUUCGGGGUGUUAAGCUCUUUCGUCAGGGAAGAUGAUGACGGUACCUGGAGAAGCAGCUGCUGCUAACUACGUGCCAGCAGCCGCGGUAAUU